GUGAAUCAUCGAAUCUUUGAACGCAAAUUGCACUCUCUUCGGAGAGUAUGCCUGUUUGAGGGUCAGCCUAAAAAAAUCGACAUAGUUGCUGUUUCGCGGUGACAUUCGUCGGAAAUUGGGUCAUCUUAAACCUUUGGGUUUUAAGCGGCUUAAAAUUUUCUUUACGAUUCCACGAACGUUUCUAAGAUUUACUUCUUUCACGGUUUAAGGUUUCGUCUUUAUUUAGC
rnacentral:misc_RNA from 1 species